UAAGGAAUAUUGGUCAAUGGACGCAAGUCUGAACCAGCCAUGCCGCGUGAAGGAUGAAGGUCCUCUGGAUUGUAAACUUCUUUUAUCUGGGACGAAAAAAGGGCUUUCUAGCUCACUUGACGGUACCAGAGGAAUAAGCACCGGCUAACUCCGUGCCAGCAGCCGCGGUAAUACGGAGGGUGCGAGCGUUAUCCGGAUUUACUGGGUUUAAAGGGUGCGUAGGUGGGCAGGUAAGUCAGUGGUGAAAUCUUCGAGCUUAACUCGGAAACUGCCAUUGAUACUAUCUGUCUUGAAUGCCCUGGAGGUAAGCGGAAUAUGUCAUGUAGCGGUGAAAUGCUUAGAUAUGACAUAGAACACCAAUUGCGAAGGCAGCUUACUACGGGGUGAUUGACACUGAGGCACGAAAGCGUGGGGAUCAAACA
rnacentral:rRNA from 1 species